UUCCCUUUUUUUUUUUUUUUUUUUUUUUUGUUUAAAAAUAUUUCAAGAAUCAUAGCAGGUUUUGCUGUUACAUACAUAGUUUUUUUUUAAAGAAUGGGUAACAAAUUAUCGACAGAAGAUCACAUUUUUCGUUUGAAGUUAAAAACGAAAGAACUAGAAAAGUUAUCACAAAGAUUAGAGGUAGAAGAAAAAAAAUUAAUUUCAGAAGUAAAAAGGGCAAUGCAAGCAGGAAAAAUUGAUAUAGCAAGAAUACACGCGGAAAAAUGCAUAAGAAAAAAAAAUGAAAAAUUGAACUAUCUUAAUUUAAGUAACAAAAUGGAUAUUCUUGUGUCAAGAUUAGAAGCAGCAUACAGAAGUGCAUCGGUUUGUUUAAAAUUAUUUAAUCAAAUAAGGGGAAAAAAUAGCACUUUUAUAGAAUAUAUGCUUAUGUAUACACAUAUAUAUAUAUAUAUAUAUAUAUAUUCACUCUCAUCUGUAUUUCUGUAUGUCUAUCUUAGUUAUUCCGUUAUUUUAUUUUAUUUUAUUUUUAUUUUACUUCAUUCAUUUUUUACAGUUAAUUAAUGAUGUUGGUCAAAUGGUACCUAUAAUUAAACAAAUAAAUGAAGAAACAAAUCUGGUCA
rnacentral:lncRNA from 1 species